rnacentral:SRP_RNA from 2 species
GCCGGGCAUGGUGGCGCAUGCCUGUAGUCCCAGCUACUUGGGAGGCUGAGGCAGGAGAAUCACUUGAACCCAGGAGGCGGAGGUUGCAGUGAGCCGAGAUUGUGCCACUGCACUCCAGCCUGGGUGACAGAGUGAGACUCUGUCUCAA